GCCCAGCUAGCUCAGUCAGUAGAGCAUGAGAUUCUUAAUCUCAAGGUUGUGGAUUCGAACCCCAUGUUGGGAGCCA